rnacentral:rRNA from 1 species
GAUGAACGCUGGCGGCGUGCCUAAUACAUGCAAGUCGAGCGAACGGACGAGAAGCUUGCUUCUCUGAUGUUAGCGGCGGACGGGUGAGUAACACGUGGAUAACCUACCUAUAAGACUGGGAUAACUUCGGGAAACCGGAGCUAAUACCGGAUGAUAUUUUGAACCGCAUGGUUCAAAAGUGAAAGACGGUCUUGCUGUCACUUAUAGAUGGAUCCGCGCUGCAUUAGCUAGUUGGUAAGGUAACGGCUUACCAAGGCAACGAUGCAUAGCCGACCUGAGAGGGUGAUCGGCCACACUGGAACUGAGACACGGUCCAGACUCCUACGGGAGGCAGUAGGGAAUCUUCCGCAAUGGGCGAAAGCCUGACGGAGCAACGCCGCGUGAGUGAUGAAGGUCUUCGGAUCGUAAAACUCUGUUAUUAGGGAAGAACAUAUGUGUAAGUAACUGUGCACAUCUUGACGGUACCUAAUCAGAAAGCCACGGCUAACUACGUG